rnacentral:siRNA from 1 species
UGGCUUUAGUUGACCGGAUGG